UUUAUAUAUUUAUACGUGUGUGUGUGUGUGGUUGAGUACAUUUUUGAGUAUGUGUGCAUGCAUGCGCCAUUUUUUAAAUGGCAUACAAGGAAUGGAAUAGUUAUCAUACGUGAACAUUUUCAAAAUAACAGUCUUUGCUUGGAAGCCACUUACCAAUUUGCUUUAUACCCAGAUAUCUUAAUUUGACACCAAGAUUUUAUUAUAACUUGGAUACUUUUGCAUAUUUUAAGGACACUGUAGACCAUGAUGAAAUGAAUAUUGUGACACAGUUUGUCAGAUCUAUUAAGAUGGGUUGAACGAUGUGUAUUCGGUUUUGAAUUACAUAGUGUACAAACAGAAAAGGAAUAUUUAAAGUAUCGCACUAGACCUCCAAUUUCGUCACUUAGUACAAAUUCAGAAAGCUCAAAGGAAACACCUCUGAAAAGAAUUUCCUGGCUCCCAAGCCUGGCUGAAAAUAUUUCUGUGGCUUUUAUCAUUGUGUUUUUGUGACACUAUGAUUCUGCUUGAGUGCUAAUGCUUAAUUAUGACUAAUGACCAACUCUGCUUCUUUAGCUUUAUGCCAAUGUGGGAAAAGCCGUACAGCUCUUAUUUAGUUCAAUCUGGUGUCACAUGAUUAAAUUAGCCCUUUUACUCAGUUGAUGAUAAUGAUGAGGAGAGCAAUAAGAUCUUUUUUCCCUAGCAUCCUCGUCGACAGAGCAAGCCAGAGAAGAGGUGGGGAACAAUUACUCUUCCUACUGGCACUUUACAGUAGUGCUGUGCUCAUCUUGUCACAGAGGGUGCCCAGUUGUUAAGUGAUUGUUCCACUGAGAGCUGCUAGAGAGCUGCUCCUCCCUGCUUGGUCAGAAGAGGGUUUUGCAUGGAACUCGCUGAAAAUAAGACAGAAAAUUUGAGUUAAUGAGCAAUGUCCAAACUGAUAAGAACACAGGAACUAUUAUAUCUGUAGUGCAACAAAGGAUGUUACAAUGAAUGAUUAUGUUGCGUGAGGCUUUGGCAGUUUAGAUUUAAGGAAAGAAAAAUAUAUUUAAUGCAGUUUGUUCUAAAAAUGGUUAACUCUUUUGCUAAUGUCAUGUAAUAUGAUCAAAUGGCAAGUAAGUGUGCACAAAGUGUGGAGUUUCUUCUACUGAAGGUACAGAGAGAAGACAGAAAAGGGUUCAAAGGGUACAGAUUUUCCCGAAAGGGGCUACCAGUGUCCUUAUAUCUCCUUAAUGUUGUGUUACAGAGGUGAAUAGUUACCAUAGUACAAUGAAAUUGAAUAAAGCAUAAUUUGUAAAAAUCCACUCGCUGGUGUAGAAUAAUAUUUUCAUUGCUAUUUUUCAUUGAACUUAUUGGCAUUUGUUUUGUUAGAACACUUAUUUUACUAAAAGAUCAUGAUAUGGUAACAUAAUAAUAUUGUUGAUACCAAACAAAGAAUUUUUCCAAAGGUCUUAAACUGAAUUAAAUCUUCCCUGGUUUGGCAAGCAUAAAUUUUGUUCCUCUGCUAGGAGUUCUUUUCCAUUAUAUUUUCUGAUCAUUUCAGUUACUGAACCCUCCUGUGCUAGGUAGUACUUAUAAUCCAUGUAAAAGAAUACAGAAUGUUAUUAAAAUCUUUCAUUUUAUUAAAUGAAAUCACAAGGGUUGCUUUUAAAUAGAACUCAGUUGGUGAUUUGUGUGUUUGACUUAAUGAUGUUUUUCCAUGAAAACUUGGUCUUGCUUCCCCUGAAGAAUAAUGGUUCUGUACUAGUUUAUUGGACAGACUUUCUCUAUUUUGCUAUCCAGGUCUUUUGCCAAAGCAUAAAUACCUGACUUUCUUUUGGAUGGCACAAUGUAGAAGAAGGUUUUAACAAGAAGAUUGAUUUGAUGGAGUACUUUAUUCUGCCAAUCUCAAUUUAAAAUACUCUCCCUAUGUAAUUAAAUUGAUUUACUGUUGCUAAGGGAGGAAUAUCACCAAACUCCAUCUUUAGAAAUUUAGAUUUCUUUUGAAAAUUAAGAAUCUUAGAAUUGGUAAACAUUGGUAAGAAUUGAUACCAUCUCUAUAUAUGUUCUUAGUGGUAUUCCAAAUCAAUCACCAGUUCCAGUUCCAUAAAACUUUUACUAUACUUUAUUCAUUAACUUGAAAAGUGAAAUUUUAGAAAGAGCAUAAAGAGUUUCCUGAAAUUUUAAAAAGAGCAAAGUAUUUUAUUCUUAGAAGAAAAAUGUAUCGGUUUAUUUUACAUUUUUCUAGAAUUUAAAAGUGUUUUCAUCUUUAGUUUUGUUAUUGACGAGCUCUGUAGAUGCUUAAUAGGUCUAGUAACUGAAUACAUUUGAUUGGUGACUGGAACUUACGCUUAAGCACCAAAGACUCCAGCAAUGUCUUAAAAAUAUGUAUUAGCAGGAAGAGGCAUUUAACCUGGUGGGUAAAAUGCCCAUAUUCCAUACAGGAAUAUCUGGGCUUGAUUUCCAACACUAGACCUGUCUCCAGCUGCCUGGGAAGCAGUGUUGAUGGCUCAGGUAAUUGGGUUCCUGCCACCUAGUGGAGACCUAGAUGGUGCUCGCAGCUUCCCAGUUUAGGCUCCAGCCAAAGAUGUUGAUAUUUGAGAAGUGAGUUGAUGGGAGUUUGAGAGACAGAAAGAGAACAAAACAAAAUAUUUUAAGAGCAUAUUUAGGGGUGAGUAUUUGGUGCAGCGGUUAAGAUGCUCCCUGAGACAUCUGCAUGCCAUAUUACAAUGCUUAGGUUCAAGUCUUGGCUCCACUUUUGAUUCCAGCUUCCUGCUGCUGUGCACCGUGAGAGGCAGUAGGGUAUAGCUCAAGUACUUGGAUCCGUGCCACUCAUGGGGGAUCUGGAUAUGUUUCCAGACUUUCGGCCUGGACAAGCCCAGGAUGUUGUAAAACAUUUUUUUUUUCCUUUGGAAUGAAUCCAUAAAGGGAAGAUCUCUCUAUCUCCUUCUCUGCUGCCUUUCAAAUAAAAAUAAGUAAAUAAAAUUUAAAAUUAUAUAUUUGCAGCUUAGAAACCAUUACAAUUUUUAAUGGAUCCUUUUCUUUGUUGACCAUCUCCAGUGCCAGGUCUAUACAGUCAGAAUCCAGCAGAAGAGUUUAAUCAUAAUCUAAUGAAAUUAGAGUAAAUUUAAAUUAAGAGUAAAUUUAUAUCUCCUUCUGUUCCAUGGUUAAUGUUGAGAGAUGGUUUUCUUCCAAGCCUACUAUAAUAGAUGGGGCUGUUUAUCACUGAGCUUUAUUAAAGACUGAAAUUUUUUUUUCAUUUCCUUAAUGCUUUGCACAAAACCCUAAUUCAUGAUUUUUUUUUUCAAAGCAUCAUAAAGACAUUCCUGGAAAAAUCUGGAUUUAAACUUUAAGGAGUCAUUAAUGAAGAUAGAAAUAGGACCAAACCUGAUGAAAGAUGGAUUCUGAGGCUGUAGCCUUAUUGAUUCUUUGACUUCAUGAAAAGAUAGUCCUGAUCUUUUUUGGUUGGUUUGUUUCCAUCAUGACUUUAUUCUUCCAGUGAAAAGUAUUUUAUAUCGAGAACUGAUAAUUACAAUACUGAUAUUUUAAAUUAUAUAGAAAGUCUUCAUACACAUUGCAAAAAAACUAAAUGACUAAGUCUUGGUCAGAGGUACAUUUUAUUUUUAUCAACAUUGAGAAGCUUUUACCACAAACAUUUUAUUUGUAGGUAGACAUGCUAAAGAUUCCUAAUCUUUGAUCUUAAUUUUAGUAUAUAAGGAAUCAUUUAAAUUUAUAAGAUAGGAAUGCCUGUACCUAUUCAUUUGUAUUCUUACAUAAAUGAGUUAAAUUAUUUAAACUUGACCUUUUCUAAGAUCAAAAUGUGUAUUUGAGAAAAUAUACUGAUAAGUGAUUAGUGACUCAUGUAAUCUCUAAUAAAACAUUCUUUGCAACACAUUUUGAAAUUAGAGUAUAAAAGCCUAUGAAAUAGUUACACAAAUGUAUGCACUAGUUAAUUGUAAGUUUAGUCACUGAUACAUUCUAAACCUGUGCCAAUAAUCAUGAUUUUCAAGAGGGAAUAAAAAGUAAAUCAAGAAUAUGCUAAUUUUAUUUGUGGUUUUGUAGGUAAUACAAACUGAAAGUACUGCUGCUGAUUGUUCUUUAAUCAUGGUGCCUGAGGUGAUAAGUAUUACAUAAUUGUAUGUGGUCUUCCAAGGUCUUAUAUCAGCUUGACUGUUCUGGAUUAUGUUAAAAUUAAUUAACCAAUGCAGAUAUAAAUCAAACUUAAUUACUUAGUUAUAGCUUAGGAACAAUAGCUCUUUUGGAAGAUGAUUUAAAGAUCAUAAGUAUUAUUGUAUAUUAAAUACAGAUUUGAAAAAAAAAUGUAAGUUGGAAAAUUUACACAACAUAUUGCUUAGCAAAUCAGUUUACCUAGCCACAGCCUAAUAUAUUAAGCAAUGAAUCUAUCCUGGGUAAGUUUUGUUGUAACUACCAUUACAUGUUCUUGUAUGGUUGUUACUAUAUUAAGGAAUUAUGAUGUGUAAAACAUCUCAACAAAUACAGCUCUCUGACAUUCGUAUCAAUCAUUUUUUCUUUUUGCAUAAAGGUGUACAAAAUAAAACUUCUAUAGUACAAUUUCCAUGGAAUUAAUGUUAUAAUCCAGAGAAAAUAAAUAAUUCUGAUAUUUAUAUUACCUGUUUUUUUCUCUUGUGUAGAACUUUAAAAAUACAAAGAGACCAACCUUCUAUCCAGCGAUCUACUGCCAAAUGGCCACAAUGGCCAGGACUGAUUCAGGUGGAAGCCAGAAACCUGGAACUCUAUACGGGUCUCCGAUGUGGGUAGUAGGAGUCCUCAUACUUGAGCCAUUUCUGCUGCUUUCCCAGGCACAGUAAGGGCCUUGAAUAUGGGCUGCCGGUGUGGCGCUCCAACGUGGGAUGACAGCAUGGCAAGCAGAAGCUUAACCUGAUAUGCCAUGCUGGCUCCUAGUGUAUAGCAUUCUAAGGAAUGAAAGCCUACCUAUAUGUGAGAGGGCGAUUCAGUUCUGGGAGUAAACAAAAUAGUGUAAGGAAACAGCCAGAUGUUAAAAAAAAAAAAAAAAAGCCUGAUACAAUGAUAGUUUAAAAACUUCAAGUGAUCAAACAGAAGGGUAAUCAUGUGUAGGGAAAUCAGAAAUGAUGAAAAAUAGUAGAUAAAAUAUCAUUAAACAAGGUUUAUUAGCACAUAUUACCUUAAAUCCAAUAUAUUAAAAUAUACUUUAUAAUACAGUAAAUGUGUCACAUGUAAACUAUUAAAAUGAUAGGUGUGUGAUAUUCAGACAUAGCAUUUUCCUUGGAAAAGUGCUGAUGCAAUGGAGGGACCAGCAUUGUGGUACAACAGGUGCAGCUUCAGCCUGUGAUGCCAGCAUCCCACACAGGCACAGGUUUGAGUCCUAGCUGUUCCACUUCUGAUCCAGCUGCCUAUUAAUGUGCCUGGGAAAGCAGCAGAAAAUGGUCCAAGUCAUUGGGCCCCUAGCAGCCAUGUGGGAGACGUGGAUACAAUUCCUAGAUGCUGGCUCAGUCCUGGCUAUUAAGGCCAUUUUGGAAGUGAACCAGUGGAUAGAAGAUAUCUGUUUCUCUCCUUCUCUCUCCCUCUUGUUGUAACUCCGCCUUUAAAAUAAAUCUUCAUUCAAAACAAUUAGGAUGGCGCAAUUCUAGCAUUUUAAUGGAUUUCUGCUCUUGUGGAUUAUAUUUUCAUAAUGGAAUGAGUAUUUCUAGAGCCAAACCACAUGUAGUAUUAUCUGAUGCUAAAUGGUAACUAUAAGAUGUUUGUGUAAAUGUAUGUUUUCUGAAUAUAACUAUUAUAAAAAUAGGAGCCCAAAACUUAGUCUCUCAUGAUACUGAAUUAUGUGCAGAAGACUUGCUGACCAAGUCAACCAGGCUGCCAUUUUGUUAUAACCUCAUUUUCCCAGUGUUAAUUAGCAUUCAGUUACAAUAUAGUUAAGAAAUUUUAUCUAAGCCAAUGAGAUUGCACAGUUCAAACACACUGAAGGGUUCAAAUUAUGGGUUCCUUUUUCAGUCAUCAAGGCCAUUCUGUAGAACACCAAUAGGUUGCACUGGUUCAGAGGUAGAGGAGAAUUAAAUAUGUAUUCAUCAGCAUAUACUUAGAAAGCAACUGAUCUAUCCCUACCACUUUGCUACUAUGAAGAAAAUCAAAGUAGAUUCCUUACACUCAAAUGAGAAAUGAGAAAAUGUGUAUUUUGUAAAAUACCAACAUCUUUAUGAAGAUAUCCUGUAACCUGUAGCAUAGCCUUAUUUUUUGGACAACAUAUUUGUACUUGCUUUUGUACACAGAAGCUAUAAUUGGAAAGACACAUGCAGAUAUGCAGUUUAAGAUGAGCUCAUGCUGCCGGCGCCGCGGCUCAACAGGCUAAUCCUCUGCCUUGUGGCGCUGGCACACCGCGUUCUAGUCCCGGUUGGGGCACCGGAUUCUGUCCCGGUUGCCCCUCUUCCAGGCCAGCUCUCUGCUGUGGCCAGGGAGUACAGUGGAGGAUGGCCCGAGUGCUUGGGCCCUGCACCCCAUGGGAGACCAGGAGAAGCACCUGGCUCCUGCCUUCAGAUCAACGCAGUACGCCGGCCGCAGCGGCCAUUGGAGGGUGAACCAACGGCAAAGGAAGACCUUUCUCUCUGUCUCCCUCUCUCACUGUCCACUCUGCCUGUCAAAAAUAAUAAUUAAAAAAAAAAAAAAAAAAAAGAUGAGCUCAUGGGGCUGGCUCUGUGGCACAGCAGGUUAAGCUGCUUCCUGUGAUACCGGCAUCUCCUACGGGCCCCAGUUCUAGCCUGGCUGUUCUACUUAUGAUCCAGCUCCCUGCUAAUUUGCCUGGGAAAGCAGCAGAGUUUGAACCAAGUACUUGGCCCUGGCAACCACAUGGGAGACCUGGAAGGAGCUCCUGGCUUCCGCCUGGCCUUGAGACCAUUUGGAAAGUAAACCAGAGAAUGGAAGGCUUCUCUCUGUCUCUCCUCUCUGUAACUCAACUCUACUUACUUGAGAGGCAGAGUUACAGAGAGGGAGAGACACAGGUUUUCCAUCCACUGGUUCACAGAGCUGAGAAUACUCGAAGCCAGGAGCCAGGAGCUUCCUUCGGGUGCAGGGGCCUAAGCACUUGGCUCAUCCUCCACUAUUUCUAGAGCCAAACCACAUGUAGUAUUGUCUGAUGCUAAAUGGUAACUAUAAGAUGUUUGUGUAAAUGUAUGUUUUCUGAACAUAACUAUAAAAAUAGGAGCAUCCCAGGCUAUCAGCAGGGAGCUGGAUCAGAAGUGGAGCAGCCAGAACAAACUGGCGCCCAUAUGGGAUUCUAGUGCCACAGUGCUGGCCCCAGUAACUGACUUUCAGAUAAGUAAAUGAAUAAAUCUUAAGAUUCCCAGGCGGUCAUAACAGGUGGGGCUAGGCCAGAUUGAAGAUAAGAGCCAGGAACUCUAUCCAGGUCUCCCAUGUAGGUACAGGGUUCAAGGACUUGGGCCAUCCUCCAUUGCUUUCCAAGGUGCAUUAGCAGGGAGCUGGAUCGGAAGUAGAACAGCCAGGGUUCAAACUGGCACCCACAUUGGAUGCCAGCUCUGCAGGCUGUGGCCUUAACCUGCUGUACCACAGUUCUGGUACCAGAUAAAUCUUCUUAAAAAAAAUGAACUCAUAUCUGGGUAAACCUGAGAGUAUGGGCAAUUUUGGCAUAUAGAAUUAUUAAAACUAAUGAAAAUCUUUCUCUUUGUAACUCUGCCUUUCAAAGAAAUCUUAAAAAAAGCCUCAGUGAAAGUUCAUUUUCUUUUGUGGGAUUUUAAAUCAUUUUAAGGGUAUUUAAAUCAGAGUCUGUCCUUUAAAGGGACCAUUGUUUUGGAACCCUUUUUUUGAUGGAACAUAUAGAAACAAAAUUUAGAAAAACAUUGCUAUUAGACAACAUUCUAUAUUCUAAGAAUUUUAUCAAAUGCUUUUUAUAUGUUUAAUACUAGAGCAACCCAAUGAAGUGGUAUUGCACAAGAAUUAACAUAAUUAUAUAACAUAAAUUAAAUAAUUUCUCCAAGGUGGUAAGAAGUCAUUUAAUCUGAGACUUGGGCUCUUGUCUAUUUGACUUAAAAAUUUAUGUCCUCAUCCCUCUGUCACAAUGCCUCUUUCUCUGAAGAAAACUUACAAGAAUGCCUGUAAAGCGUUAUCGGGGUUUUAUUUGACUCUUUGUGUAUUUGCCUUUGGUCUGUAGAAAUGGUUUUGGGAUACUUUAAUCCAGUAGCUACUGGAGCAGUUUCUUACCCAUUUUAUCACCCACUCUCAGGCCAUUUUCUCUGUUAACAAGUCUAUUGCCUUUAUCUUGUAAAUAUGGAGGCCAUUUGAUAUUACAUUGUGAAGUAGAGAUUUUCUUUUUCUUGCCUGAGGAUACCAGAAACCAGGGAAGGAGAGUUAAGCAUACUUUGCCUAAUUCCUUUGAAUGGAGCAAUCUUGAGGGUAUAACACCCAUAAUAGCAAUAUCUGUUAUUUUGCUGAUCUGUCCUUGUUAGCUGAGGUGUAAAGUUACCUGUGUGGGGUAUUAUAGUAUUGUGGAAACUGUAUAAAUUUUUCCUAGAUCUUUGGUAUGUUCUAACAUGGUUAUUGAAAUUUGAUCAUUGGAGAUUUAUUCUUGGCGUGGGAAAGAUGUUAGCCUCCUAUUAUAUAAAUGCCACGCAACUCUUAACUAUUAGCCUUGUGACAGUAGAGUGGAAUUGCUUUGUGUCCAGUGGCAGGAAAAGUUGGUAAGAAAGCAGAGUGUUAGAUAGGUCAGUGGCACCAGAGAUAAUUCCUAUAACUGCCUUGGGUAAGCCAGUGGAGAGCGGCUCAGUGGAAGGUGUGGACUCAGCAGGCGGGACUUUAGCUGUUGCCUUUUCCAUGCUAUCUUGCAGUUUCUUGUCUGGUAGUGGGAAAGUCCAGAAGGUCGUAAGAGGCAGAGCAAGCGAUCAACAACAUGGGCAGAGUUAUAGGAAAUCUCCUCUUUGCUUCCUCCCCUGGCUCGCAUAACAUCCACGUAAUACCCAUCUAUUUGCCAAAUGUUGAGCCAGCCAGGACCCUUUCUUUUCACAGGCCUACAGCUGUCUCAUUAUAGAGCCAGGCUAAAUAAACAAUGCCUUUUCAUUUCCUGCCUUUCUCCUCAGCACUUCAUGCUCCAGAUGACAUUUUCUUUCCUUCUUACAAAGUCUCAACAGGGUCAGAUAAGGAGAUAGGCAUUGUGCUCUUUGACAGUUGAAGCUAUGGGAGCAAGGGGCAAAAACAGAGCUACAAACACAAUGAGGGUCACUUGCCUUCAGGUUGGGUGCUCACAAGAACAGGGCAACCAGAGGGAUUUCAGGAUAUCUGGUAAGUCAAGUAUUAAAGAGUCUACGAGGCCGGCGCCGCGGCUCACUAGGCUAAUCCUCCACCUAGCGGCGCCGGCACACCGGGUUCUAGUCCCGGUCGGGGCGCCGGAUUCUGUCCCGGUUGCCCCUCUUCCAGGCCAGCCCUCUGCUGUGGCCAGGGAGUGCAGUGGAGGAUGGCCCAGGUGCUUGGGCCCUGCACCCCAUGGGAGACCAGGAAAAGCACCUGGCUCCUGGCUCCUGCCAUCGGAUCAGCGUGGUGCGCCGGCCGCGGCGGCCAUUGGAGGGUGAACCAAUGGCAAAGGAAGACCUUUCUCUCUGUCUCUCUCUCUCUCACUGUCCACUCUGCCUGUCAAAAAACAAACAAACAAAAAAAAAAGAGUCUACGAUAUUUUCCAUACAUAGUUUUCUGUUUUGGUUUUUACUUUAUGGGCCUAGGCAUUAGAAAUCUGGGGUUCUGGGUAUCCUGAAGCAUUUGGUGAUCCUUGACUCCAAGGACCUUUCAUUUUUCCUUGUUUGAUUUCCUGAUGGUAAAGUUGAACUCAGGAGGAGAUUUUAUUUUUUUUUUCUUAAUUUUAAAGUUACAAAGAGGGAGAGACAGGUCUCCCAUUUGCUAGUUUACUCCAGAUGACAGCUAUGGCCAGGGCUGGGCCAGAUUGAAGCCAGGAGCAGGGAACUUCUUUUAGGUUUCCCAUGUGGGUAGCAGGUGCCCAAGCGCUUGGCCAUCCUCCACUGAUUUCCCAGGCGCAUUUUAGCAGGGAGCUGGAUUGGAAGUGGAGCAGCUGGGACUGGAACCAGUAUGGGAUGCUGGUGUUGCGGCCAGUGGCUUUACAUGCCAAACCACAGCGCUGGUCCCUCCAAUGGGUUUUAUAUACCUAAGUAAGAGCUCCAUUUCUGUCGUCUUCUAUCUUUGUGGCUUUCAAAAAGUUAUUUAAGUUCUGAAUUAGCUUUCUUCACUAUGAAAUUAGGAUGAUAUUGCCAGUAGUGGUGGUGGAAGUGAUGGUGGUCAUGGUGUUGAUUGUGGUGGAGGUGAUGAUCAUAGUGAUGGUUGUGGUAGAUUUGGAUAUGAUGGUGGUGAUUUGGAGGUGAAGGUGGUGAUGGUAAAGGUGGAAAUUGUGGCAGAGAUGGUAGUGUGGUGGUGGUUUUAGGUAUGGUGGUGUUGGUGUGGAGGUGAAGGUGGUAGUGAUAGGGGUAAUGGUUGUGAUUUUUAACAGUUGGGGUGAUGUGACUGGGAAUGGUGGUGGUCAUGGUGUUUGUGGUAUUAUGGUUGUAGUGGUAUUGGUGUUUGGUAGUGGGGGCAGUAGUGGUGGUGGUUGCAGAGAUGGUGAGAGUACAAGAUUAAUUGAGAAUCAGGCAUAAUCCUGUUUGGAUUUAACCCUCACAACUACAUUAAGUAGUUGCUAUUAUUUAUACCCUUUUUACAAAAAGAAAUUGAGACUUCAAGGUUAAUUUUCUGUGGGUCACGUGGAUAAUAAAGAGUAGAUUUAGAACUCAGCAGCAGGACAACCUAAACGUGCAGCCCGUGCUGUGUUACUGGAGGCUGUUUCUCCCAGGAAUGGCUUUAUGCAAGGAGGAGACUGAAGCUGUGGUGUGUGGGCUCUGAUGACAAAUGUGCCAGUGCAUCUCAGAAGAUGAGUAGAAUAGCUGUUUAUCUUUUCUGAAAUUCUUGAAAGCGUAACAACCAUCCCUCUGUUUCUUCUCCAUUACCCUAGAAGCGCCACAAAUAACUGAGUUGGAAAAAUGAGAGUGUGCAGUGCUCUGAUGCCUCCACGUACCUGACCUACCCAAUUAUUUUCUAUUUCUCUUCGUUCCUAAAUUUUAAAACAGAAGCUUCUUGAUUAUCAGUGUUCUGUUAUUGCUUGCCCUGACCCUGUAGCAUUUAACUUCCUUAUAUGGCUGAGUAAUGAAAAUAGUUUUGCUCCAUACUUAAAAUAGUACUUUCUUAGCCUCUCUUUUUGCCUAUAUUAAAGAUAGUAUAAAUAAAUGACAGCAGAGAAUUAUUAUCAGGGAAUGCUUUUUUUUUUUUUAAUCUUGUGUCAGCACUUCCAAGAAUUUGAAAAGUGUUUUCUCUGACCCUGGAGGGUAUUAACAGUAAGAAUUAUUGAUUAGGAGACUUUCCUGGAAUAGGAGAUUCUCAGGGCAGUUAUGAUAAAAACCUACAAUCCCAAUCUCCACAGCAGAAGGAAUUGUUAGAUACUUUCUUUUUUAAAAAUCCAAUCCCAAGUUACUCUUCCUGCUGAAUUACAUUCUCUCUAGGUGUCAAGAGAAAGACAUUCUACCUAAAAGCAGAUGACUAUCAAAAGAUAUCUUACACCAUUUUAUACAAAAACAGUGUUCAGGUGUAUCUGUAAUAUACUUGUUUCUGAACUAAAUAGUUUUGUUGACCUUUGUAGGCAAAUUAUUGGUCUGUUUGACAUAAUUGGCAAUAUUUAUAAGAGACCCAUUACAAUUACUCUUCAACAUAGAACACUUAAAAAAAUAUUUAUUUGAAAGGCAGUUAGAGAUGGAGAAAGAUUUCUUUUCCUCUGUUGGUUCACCCACCAAAUGACUUCAACUGCCUGGCCUGAGCUAGGCUGAAGCAAGGAGCCUGGAACUACAUCCAGGUCUCCCACAUGGUUGGCAGAGACCCAAAUACUGCCUUAACAGGAAGCUGGACUGGAAGUGGAGCCAUCAGGACUCCGACCAGCAUUCCUGUGUGAUGCUCUCAUCUUGGGCAGUGACCGGACCUGCUACACUGCAAUGCAGAUGCUUUUAGACAUACUCAUACCCGCACCCGCACCCACACCCACACACUUUUGGUUUACUAAGAAAAAGUAGGAAAACAGUGGAGGAGUGCAAUUAAAAUCAAAUCCUAUUUUUGUAGAGUUUAAUUCUUAUAGAACAAAAGAGCAGAAUUAAUCCCAAAGUUACAGGUCAACUUUCCUUCUCACACAUUGGUUAUUAUAAAUUAGACCCAACUUUUUUGAAUGAACCCUUUGCUUUAUGUGUAUAUCUGUGUCUGAGAUUUGUAUAUCAGCAGAAGUGGGGUGGGGGGAGAGAAGCAGAAGGAGGGGUGCCAGCAGAGGGACAGACACAAAUAAUAUCUCACAAUGAUCAGAGUUCAGCUAUUACUAAAGUUAUUCCAGAUUCUUGCUCAAGCAAACAGAAGACAGAAUGAGUAAGGAGAUAGAAAUGGGUUCGUAUUCAAGCAACUUUGUCCUUGAAUCAAGUUUAUGUGCCUGAGUAUGUUUGAGGAGCCAGGAGAGCCUGUGGACUCUAGGAGGCCUGGGAUCCUAUGUGCUGAUUCCUGCCAUCAUCACAUGUUCUCUUAGCAUCUAGUGUGUGUUGAGUCCUAGGCAGACGGUGGGACCACAGUGGUGAUUGAGACAGCCCUGCCAUAGAAAGCCUCAUGCCCUGCUAGAGGACAUCGAUGUGCAAAUGCUCAUCACACACAGCAUGGAUAUUUGGUCACUCCUGGAGCUUUUCUGUGCCUUCCUUGGUGUCUCCCUCCCUCUCCCCUUCCCUCUUCUCCUCCUCUCUCCCUUUCUCCCUCUCCCCGUCUCCUCCUCUUUCCACCUCCUGAUGGAGCUUGCCACUGGUGUUUGGAAUGAGAACAGAUGAUGUGCUGUUUUAUCUGCUGGCCACUUCUGGCAGCAACCCACAUAUUUGCCAUUCCCUCAAAAAUGACCACACAACUCCCACACCCUCACUGUCCCCACCCCAGGUGGCUCCUGUCAUUUUGGCUGUGUUCUCUGAUGGAGACCGGAAAAAUUGAGAUUGGGAACAAUUAAAGUCUGAUUCAUUUUUCAUGUAGUAAUGAACUCAGAGGAAUGGGAAAAGGUUUUGUCUUUGUUUUCUAGUCUUAAGCAUAACCAGGGGAAGCAUGUGACACUCACAUCUGAAUCCUUUCUCUCAAUGGUCUGCUUUUAUUGAGCAGAAACUGAUGAUACUAUUCAAGACACCCAGGCAGGAAUUCAAUAAUUUGCGACUUGGGGAUUUCAAAGGCUCAGACUCUGGUGAUCCAGCACUUCAGAAUAUCCCAACAUAGUGUUGUAGAAGGCAGAUAAUGUCAAAGAAUAUGAGAGAUGGUGGUCUUUAUGAACUGCUAACAUGGAAGAAAGACCUCAACAUGGAGGAGUAGAGAUGCAAUAAAGUGUUAUAGGAAGUGAUUUAGAUCUACACAUGACCCACUCAUUGGAAGAAGAGUAAUAUACACAAAUAUAGCUAUAAAUGUAAAAAUGGAUGAAAUAAUAAAAAUAACGUCCAGAUAUUUAUCUGGCUCGAGCUAAAGUAUCCUGCAAAAUUUAGUUGUUGGAAUAAUUAUGUUCCCUGUAGGCUUGAAUUCUUUCAGGGAAGGAACAACUUUUCUAAUAUUCCAGACGUCCAUGAUCAUUGUAAACUGUAUUCUCUUAAUUGGCCUUUGACUAUUUGUUUGUAAAUUCAAUGGUCAAUUCUUAUAAAUGAAGCCAUUGAGACAUUUUUAGGUAGGUCUAGGUCUUUAACCCCAUUGUAAAUUUUCCUAGUCGCCAGUCUGUUGAGUUUGAAUCUUGUAGUUCCCCAUUCCCUUUUCCAGUUAGACUAUCAAUGUGCUUGAGUCUAGCUAUGUUCAUCUUAAAUUUGUUGCUUUCCAAGUAGACAUAGAGUAAGGGGGGGGUGGAAUGUGUUCAAUAUGUACAAAAAUGAUAUUCUUAAGGAAUCAGGUGCCUAGCACUUUUUUAAACUGGAUGUGCUUUGAGGGGCUCUUCCUACAGGUAACAUAAGGAUUGGGAGUGCAGGCUCUGGGGCGAGACUACCCUGAGUUUAAAUCCUAACUCUGUCAUAAACUGCAUGAAUUCAGACAGUGAUUCAGCCUCUCUAGCCUUAUUAUUCUCACUGUAUAGUUGGUAAAAUAAUUUAAAAAGAUUAAAUCCACUGGCCAGAACCUGCCUUAUGGUAAAUGUUAGUUGCUAGUGCUUCCUUUCAUUACUUUCUAAACAGUUGUCUGCAGAAGUCUAAUCUCUAGGCAAAGAGAUAAAACUAACCUCCAUCCAUUAGUAAAAAAUAAAUAAAUAAACCCACAUACUGGGAAUUAGGCAUGGGAUAUUUCUCCUUUCAUCUUCCUUAACAUACACAAUUCACCGAACUUAAGUGUGUGUGUGUGUGUGUGUGUGUGUACAUGUGCACACACAUGUGCUUCUCAGGGUAAGGGUGCUCAAGUCACAUAGUUGUUUUCUACCACCUUAAUAGAAAUGAUAGCUACGGAAAAUAAAAUUAUAAAAGAUGCCCUGCUAACGCAGUCACCAUUUUGAUGGCUGAAUAGAGGGGAGCAGGUGAAAUAUGGAGACCUAAGAGUUAGAGCUAACAGGGAACAUGAGCAUGGAAGUGCUUAGAAAUAGCCUUUCCCUUACCUUAGGCAAUGCGUGGUGAUUUGCAAGCUAUUUCCUAAUAUUUAUUUCAUCUUCACCCCAAGUCUUGGAGGUAUUAAUGCAUCAGUUUUGGGGCAAGAGGAGUGCCACAGUGAUUCAUACCUAGUAGGGACUCCACAAAUGUCUUCUAAAUAGUUAGCAGAGAGGAAAAAAUGAAACCACAGACAUUUACACAUAGGAAAACUUUGGUACAAAGAAGCAGAUGAGCUGUUUGAGAGAUGGAGCCCAAACUGCAAACCCGGUAUGCAGUACCUCACCUGCUGAUCUUGAAACUACACAAGCGGUGUAGGUGUUGAGUCUUCUACUCUGCAUGUCACCUUCAUAUACUCUCAACACAUCAACCUCAGAAGAACCUGCCUCUCUGGAGAUCCACUCCCAGCUUUUUCAUGAUAUUUAUUUUUUUUAUUAUCCUCUUAAAGUAUAUUACAACGCAUCUUCAUCUGGAAUAAGUUGUUUGAGGACCAAAAGAUUGUUGUGUUUUGAUUCUUUGCUCUCCAUCUCUCUCCUCUGAGUGCUGCCCAUUAUAUUGUAAAUAUGCUUGAGAAAUCCCUAAUACAUGGAGCUACUCAGAGUUAGCCUUGAGCUAGCAUUAUUUCUGAAAUAAUAGGAAACAUAAUACACUGUGUUGAAGUCGGGAGAGGGCCAUUUCCACUAUGAUCGUAUAAAAUGAGAUUGUUCAUGUGAUAAUGCUAGGGCCAGUCUUACUCUUAUACAAACAAGUCUGUGAAGCUUGUUGAUUUAUUUUUCCUUCAGCUUUAAUGCUGCCUAAAAAGUUCGUGACAAUAGCAACUUGCCCAUGAAUCCUUGUCAUGUCUGAAAUGCAAUUUCCUUACCCUGAACCUAUCUUUAUACCUCAUCAGCUCUGAUUCUCACAACCAUCCACAUUGGUCAACUAAGCAAAAAAAAAAAAUCUGUUAACUUCUUAUAGGUGACUUGUUUUGUGCCUCAUCUGAAGGUUUGAAGAUAAUGCCUUUCUUCCAUGAUUAAAAUUUAGUGAGAAAAAUUAUAAUACAAGAUGAUGUAAUCAUCAUGAUAGAAAUAUAUUUAAUGUGCUUCAGGAGUUCAAUAACUCCAAAAUAGUAUUAGUUUAAUUUUCCUUUUGACUUUUUUAUAAUCCCAGAACACAUUCGUUAUAGGGACUUAAAUCCUUCUGGCAUUUUGAAAAAUAAAUGGAAAUAUCCUCUGUAUGCAGAUGAUCAUUUUUCCAUAGUUAUGACCAACAUGAACAUUCACAGAACAUUGUCUCAACUGUUGCUAAAAAAGUAAGUCCCUCAAAACAUAAUCUGGCCUGCAUUUUUAUAGAUAUUAGAGAUAUCAAAUAGGCAUUAUUAGUAGUAAAAUUAAAUAUUCAGGCAUGAAGAUUAAACUCAUCACAAUCCAGUUAGUGUAACUGCUGCUCUUGAAUGUAUUGGUGGGACUUCAGCAAAUAUAUUUCCCUAGGUGUACUCAUUCCAGUUCUACUCAAGUGUCUCAUUCAGUGGACAGAUCUGCAUCUGGGAAGAAGAGAAAGUAUUUCCAAGAUGGAAUUUUCUCUGCUUUUCUGUUUUAGCAAGCCCAUUAGCUUUUUUUUUUUUUUUAAAGACUGUGUUUACUUGAAAGAGUUACAGAGAUGCAGAGAGAGAGAGACGGAGAGAAAGAGAGAGAGAAAAAGAGGGUGGGGGAGAGAGGUCUUCCAUCUGCUGGUUCACUACCCAGAUGGCCACAACGGCUGGAGCUGCACGGAUCCAAAGCCAGGAACCAGCAGCUUGUUCCAGGUCUCCCAGGCGGGUACAGGGGCUAAGGACUUGGGCCAUCUUCUACUGCUUUCCCAGGCCAUAGCAGAGAGCUGGAUCUGAAGAGGAGCAGCCAGGACUCAAACCGGCACCCAUAUGGGAUGCUGGCACUGCAGGUGGCAGCUUUACCAGCUAUGCCACAGUGCUGGCCCCACCCAUUAGCUUUAAAAUUUUUUACCUUUAAAUUCUUCAGCAAAGCUAAUCCUGACGCUGGCUUUGGGAUCCGAUUAACUUUUGUCUUUGAAUAUUAAGAAACAUAUCUUGACGACACUUUUCUUAGUUUAGUUCACAAACACCAAUGAUGUCUUUUGAGCCAAACUUCCCAAGGACCUUGCUCUUUAGUAUGAAAAUCUGUUAUUAGUGACAUUUUAUAAAAUGUGUAUUGAAUGAUGACAAAUAUAAAAAUAAGAGCGGGACUAAUGUUUGCACAGUAGUUAAGAUGCCACUUGAGUUGCUGGCGUUCCAUAUCAGAAUGUCUGGGUUAGAGUCCUGGCUUUGCUUCGCAUCUGACUUCCUGAUAAUGUGCAUACCCUGGAAAGCAGCAGGUGGUGGUUUAAAUACUUAGGUCCCUAAUACUCACACAGAAGGCCAGCACUGAAUUCCAGGCCUGGCUGUUGCAGGUAUCUGGGGAGUAAAACAGUAGAUUGAAGAUACCUGUUUUUCUGGCUCCUAGCUCAUGUUCUCAAUCUCUCUGCCUUUCAAGUAAAAUAUAAAUAAAUACUUAAAAUCGAUUAAGUGGAACAUAAAUCCUUUAUUAGUGAGUCUUAUUAGGAACUUACAAGUAAUAUGUACGUCCAGUGGGUUGAUCUCUUAUAUUCUGUUUUAAAUUUGUUUCAGUGUAUUAUAUAAAUUGGCAUUUUUGUCACAAUGCAUUUGGGAUAACCAUAUAAUUAAUUGUCCAAAUUGCUACACUUAGAUUACAGGCAGUGGAAGAAGGAAUCCAUUAUGUCUAAACCACAAUUCCAAUGGUUUGCUAGUCAAAGCACAUUGGUAGUUUUCUUUUAUAUCCGCAAAGGUGAAAAUAAUUGAUUAUUCUUUAUUUCCUGGGAAAGUAUAGAGUUGUAACUGAAGCAGAUUUGUGGGAUUGUGAGUAUAGUGUCUCUGCAAUAGCCAAAAGUUAUCAAUUGCAUCUUGUUUUAAAAAGGAGAGAAUCUCUGAAUUCCCUGACAGCUGUAGAGGGCAGGCGUUUCUCAGCAUCACAGCACCUUGCCCUACUUUUUCUCUUAGUUAUCUAAGCCUAAGGAAGUACUGGUUAUACUUCUAUGCCCCUGCGCUUCUUAGGAUGUCCUCAGCAGCCUUCUUCAAGCAUCCUGUGGAUACUCAUCAGGGACUUCCCUGCAGCACAACUGUCUGAGCCAUUUGGUUCAUGCUCUUUGGCGCCCAGAUGACAUAAAUGUGUGUGUCCCUUCUUUCUCAACACUACCAUCUGCAGAAGGUUGUCUGCAGUUGACAGUUAUAAAUAUGCAUUAUUGUCUGCUUACCCAGUAAUAUUUUUUCAGAACAGUUGUGUAGGAGUAUAAAGAACAAUAUUGAUGUCUAGGCAUAAGCCAAUUGAGUUCAGAUUGCAUUAGUACUAUGUUUCCCACAACAAAUAUGUUAACUUAUAAUAAAGGUAUGACAAAUUAAGCUAGCUUCUUGAUUUUUCAAAAAGGAAAAAGUACAUGCAAAAGUACAUGAACAAUAAAUAAACUUCCAUGAGACUAAAAGAAGCCCUCAUUUAAACCUAAGAAUGUCGAUGGAACAGAAAAGUAAUUUAAGAAUUAGGUAUUUUAAUUAAUUAUAGAUCAAUCAAGACAAGACCAAAGUAGAGUUUAGCACAAGGGAAAAUCAAUCAUGCCAAUAUAGAACUGGAAUCAUGAAAUUUGAAGCUAUUAAGAACUCUAAGAUAUUAUUCUAAUUACCACAAGUUUAAUGUUGGGCAUAAUAUAAAGUAACAAGUAACAUAACAUGUAUUGGUCAGAUACUGUCAACAUUAACUUCAUGUUGCCACAUCAUGUAAGGGUAGCUGUGUACAGAUGUUUGCUCCCACAACUUCUGGAUGCAUCAGUGCUGGAACCUCAACAGUUUACAGAGUUUUUCUCUAAAUAUAGAAUUUUCCCUCAACAAAAUCAGCACCUAAAAUAAGAGAUAGUACAGAAUGAAAUUUUACUCAUUGAUAGUUCUGUAGUUACAUUGAUGUAUGUUCCACUUUAUAAAAUACAUGAAGGGUAGAAGCAAUAUAUUUAUACUAGAGAGACCGAGGUAUUAAUGUUCUGUUUGUAAAUGCUUUAUACAAUUAAGAUGCUAUUUAAAUAUUUGGCUAUUUCUUUUGCAUAAUUCUUUUUUUAAACUUUUAUUUAAUGAAUAUAAAUUUCCAAAGUACGGCUUAUGGAUUACAAUGGCUUCCCUCCUAUACCGUCCCUCCCACCCGCAACCCUCCCCUUUCCCACUCCCUCUCCCCUUCCAUUCACAUCAAGAUUCAUUUUCAAUUCUCUUUAUAUACAGAAGAUCAGUUUAGCAUACAUUAAGUAAAGAUUUCAACAGUUUGCUCCCACACAGAAACUUAAAGUGAAAAAUAAUAGAUGAUUUUUUAAAUGAUGAUGAAAUCAGAUCAGACCUAUUGUCAUGUUUAAUCCCAGUGAGAGUCUUUUGCAUAAUUCUUAGGAAUUUUCUUUUUUCAAUUGGUAUAAAACAUAGGCACUUAAGAAAGAGCUUUAUCAGCAGCAGUUGAGUGAGAAAUCAGUCUGUAUUAUGUACAGCACCUACUGAAACUCCUCAUCAAAUGCUUGCAGUGGGUCAGCUUAAAGUCUUGAGUACAUAAUACAUCUUCUUUGAGGUUUAUCCACUGUACUCCCACUUACCCAGACAUUAGUAAGUGUAAGUAUGUGCCUUAUGAACAAAAGAAGUUUGAAUGAUACUCACGUUGUAUCAGUAUGCCUACUUAAGGCACAGUUAUCUUAGGAGUUUCUGAAACCAAUAAAAUUACCUUUGCUAUCUUUGAUAUCUCAAGCAAUAGUAUCUGAGAAGCAUAUUUUAGCGAGGAAACAAUCAGAAUCUCCCUGCUCUUAAAAUAAUGUUUAGUUCCAAUGUUCAAGAAGCAACUUCAAUGAAGUGUGCAUGAGUCCUCCAAAGUAGAAUUAAAUUUAUGGCAAUGAACACCAUGGUUAGCUAAUUAUCUCCAGCCUUUCAUCUAGUGCCUAUUACACUGUAAAUGGUUGCUAUUUGAUUGCAAAAUAGAUGUAGCAUCCAUCUAUAUAAAAUUACCUUUGUGUUCUUGGGAUUAAGUUAUACAUUCAUGAAAACUGGUUGUAUAUAAGAAAGUUAAGUACACUUAAUACACCUGUAGAGUCACAGGCCAUCUUACCAACAAGAUUAUAAAAUUUCAGACAAUGAUCACACUUGUAUGAGAUCACUUUAUCCAUUAGAGUGAUAUAUUCUGACACAUCACUAAGCAACCUGUGCAAUACAAACAGUAUAGCACAGCUAUGACGAGCAGGAGUUCUGGAAUCAGAUUGUCUCAUUCAAAACCCAGCUCAAAUAUGUACUUGGAACAUGAUAUUGAUCUAGUAAUUUGACAUCUGAUAUGUUGGAUUGAGUAAAAACUCCAUCCAUUUUGACAAUUGACUUUAACUUGUGUCUGUACAGCAAUAGUAUAGUCCACAUAAAAUAUUUCCCAAUCUUAUUCCCUGGUUUCUUCUAGUCACUGAACUAUUUUUAAUUUUUAUUAUUUUUGAGUUAUUUUUAAAUAGAUCACAGAACGUCAUUUUUGGUGGUGCAGAGGUAGGAAAUAUGGGAUAUCAUCAUUAAUAAAUCAGCAACUUAUUUUAAUACAGUUACAAAAUUGAAGACAAAGCAAACCAUAUACGGGUGACUAUACUCUAUCACUUAUGCCUUUUACAUUGACAAUGGGAUAUGACAUGGCAGUGGAAUGCAUACUUUCCACUCUAUUCUGAACAGCAUGAUUUCUGUUAUUUCCAGACAUCUGAGUAUCUUAUUCCUUAUCCCUUUCUACUCCCCACCCUCAUUAUAUUUUACCACCUCCAGCUUUUUUCCACUCAGCAAGCUAGGCAGUAGAUGGAGGCUGUUUUGUAAGAAUUGGAGUAUUAUAAAUAGAUGGCUACAUACCCACUCUUGAUAAACAGAAGCACUGAUGUGGUGUUUUUGUGUAUGGGUUUCUGAAGAUCUGUGAAUUUAAAAAUCUUUCGGGUUUCUAAUUUAUUUCUGGCCAGCAGCUUGCUUUGGACAAAUCUGAAGCAGGAAGUUCUUGACAAAGAGCCUAAGAAUCCAUUAUCUUUUGGCUGUAAAGCAGAGCAGAAAUCCUGAUUUCUCUAUUCACUCCAAGUGUAUUUUUGAAGCCUGAAUCUGCAGUUUGUUUUCCCAGUGGAAAAAAUCAGAGUAUACUCCUGUAGCAAAAUAUGAUUGAGUUCUUAUUGGUGAUAUUUUAGUCAACUAAUAGACUCUCCCAACUGAGUACCAAUGGACUAUUUCAGAGAAACUUGUUCUCUCUUGUAUUCUUGGCUCAUGGCCAGAAAAAUACAAAUAACUAUAGAAAAAGUAUGAUUUUCACAGGCUUUUCUUGAAUAUCUAUGUUCACUAUAAUUUCAAAAGUGAUGUUUAAAUAUAAUCAACUCAAAGGAUGUUACAUAAUAUUUUUUAUUCCUGUAUAACCACAGUUAGCAGGAGCCGGCACUGUAGCUCACUUGAUUGAUCCUCUGCCUGAAGUGCCGGCAUCCCAUAUGGGCGCCAGGUUCUAGUCCCAGCUGCCUCUCUUCCAGUCCAGCUCUCUGCUAUGGCCCGGGAGGGCAGUGGAGGAUGGGCCAACUGCUUGGGCCCUGCACCCGCAUGGGAGACCAGGAGGAAGCACCUGGCUCCUGGCUUCAGAUUUGUGCAGUGCCGGCCGUGGCAGCCAUUUGGAGGGUGAACCAAUGGAAGGAGGACCUUUCUCUCUGUCUCUCUCUCUCUCACUGUCUAUAACUCUACCUGUCAAAUAAAAAAAUACAGUUAGCAAAGAAAAUCUUUUUUAGAACUCUUAAGCUAUUAUUUCCUUUUUCCUAUGUUAAUAUCUUUCAACUCAAUACUCCAGCUAAAAUUUUUUUCCAAUGCUGCAUCUUUCAACAUAGUCUAAUGGUCAAGCUCAAGGGAUAAGUAAUUUGUAUUACUAAACUUUGAUCAAGCUCAUGAAUUUUAAGUAUCUAAAUUAAGGCUCCUCCAAAAUAUGGACCUUUGGUGCUGUUUUUCCAGUUUUGUCAGCAUGAAGGCUGCCUCUGUGCGCUGGCUUGUUAAUUCAGAGGCUGUAUCAUUACAGUUUCAGUUUCCCCAAUCGGGUCACCCAGUUGUCAUUGUUAAUUCCUAAAGUUUUUCUAACUACUGUCUCCCCUUGCCAAGAUCCAGGAUUUUGAACUAUGUUUUAUAGUCUUCCUUAUGUAAAUUAGGGAUGUCCAAAGAGCCCAGCUAUCCUGUGGUUUCAGGAGGGAAAUGUAGAAAACAGGAGAUUCUCUCUCAUUUUUUACUUAGCACUUCCAAAAUGACCUUUGUGUGAAUCUGCAGAGGUGUGCCACAGCAAUGAAGGUAUCCUCCAUCUAAAAUAACAUGUUGGUAAAGCAAAGCCGGGGAGCAGUAUCUGAGUAUUUGCAUAUCUUACAGAAAGCAACAUAAAAUGAAAAUUUUGAGGGUCUGAGUUUAGAUCGGAUAUAAUCUGCCUCAACUCCGAACAAGUUUUCAGUAAAAAUGUACUGAACAAUAGUUGAUGUCCCAAACUAUGUUAGAGACUCAAUGAUGGGGGAGAAAGACACAAAGAAAGAACCAUAUAAGGCUAAAGAGAACGUGGCCCUCUUGGGGACAAAUGCACAAUCUAGUGUGAUAGACGUUGUGGAGAGAACGUAUUUGUGACUUUGAUACUUAAUGUUUUUCCUGGUACCUGGUGCCUGCUUUUGUGAGUAAAUAAAUGCAAACCGGUCAGGAAUUACAAUUGCCAGUGAAGAUCCACAGCUCAUAAAAAUCGCCUCAGAAGAGACUGAACACAAGGCUGGCUCCUGGGAACACAGUUGGCCAGAAAAGCAAAGUGCAUCUCCUCUUUAUCAUCCCCUUUGCCUGAAGGGGCGUCCAAGAGAAGGUUAAGAAGUGCAGUUACUCAAAAGUCAUUCAUUGAAUGCAUGCUAAGUGCCAGGAAGUUGAAAACAUGAGAGAAAUAUAAUAGAGAAGCCUGUGUUGAAAGAAACUGAUGGUUAGUUAAUGCACUCAGUGAUCAAAACACAAUAUACUCAGGGUUAUAGGGGUUGCUAGUUAUAGCACGCUAUUUUCCCAGGGCAAGGGACCCAGGACAGAAAGAAAUGUCUUCACUGAAGUAAAGGAUUAAAAAAAUCAUAAAAUUAAAGAUAUGGACACAGCCAAAAGUCAGAGAAAAGUGCCAAGAAAGAAGAAGAAAUUGAAAUCUGAUGAAGUAGAAGAAACCAUUGUUGGUUAAACAUCCCAUUUCCCAGACAAGGAAAUUGCUCCUGAAAAAUCCAUGAGUGACUUACAAAGAUGGUACAAUUAGGAAGCAGUAAAACUGAACCUAGAACUCUUUUAGCUUAGUCGUCAGUUCAUUCUUCAUUGUCAUUGUGAAAUAAGAAAACUAUGGGGAAGAAGUUGGGAUGACACAACACAGAGAGGAUUGCCUUGCUCCUGUUCUACGUAUCUGGCAAUCAGAGGAUGACCUAGACAUGCUGAAUGCAUAUUGUAUACUGUUUAAAUUCCAAGUGGUACGUUUGGGAAGUUAGGUCCAUCUGCUGAUGUCUCUGACCUUCACAGAAGAUACCUAUGAGGUGCUUUGGCCCGGGGCCGGUGCUGUGGUGUAGCUGGUUAAACUGAUGUUUGCAGCACCAGCAUCCCAUGUGGGCACUGAUUCAAUUCCAGGCUGCUCUACUUUUGAUGCAGCUCCCUGCUAGUGUGCCUGAGAGAGCAGCAGAAAAUGACCCAAGAAGAAGCUACUGGUUUCAGUAUGGCCCAGCUCUGGCCCUUGUGACCACCUGGGAGUGAACCAGCAGAUGUCUUUGUCUCUCUAUUUCUGUGUAACUCUGCCUUUCAAAUAAGUCUUAAAAAGAAAAUAAAAAAAAAAAACACAAUGCUUUGGCUUCAAACCAACAGGGGAUGAGCUGACAAUGGUUAGCUUGUAGGCUUGGGUAGUAAUACAGAAAAGCAUUAGCUAUCUUUGUGGUGGGGUCCUUAAGCACCAUCCAUGCAGCCUUGGGUGAAACAGGGCCUGGGCUUUCCCACACUGUGCCACACUACCAGCCAGUCUGGAAACAAAUCCUGCUUCUCUGACUCACUAGUUACAAUCUGCCCUCAGCUCUUACCAUAGAGCAUGUGUCAACCUCCUUUUCCUACCCUCACUUGUCUGGUAGGGAAAAGCUAUAUAUAUUAAUAGCUAUAUAACCCUAUCUGGCAUGUAAGUAUCCAGUCUUCUAUUAAAAUUGCCAGAGGGACUAUCUAGCAUGGUAGAAAAAAAUAGCUAUGCAUUCAUGAAAAAUUGGGAAGUCAAGGAAUGCACAGAGCACCACGAGCUCUAUUUUUGUAUUGCCAGUCAAUGGAAAAUGCUCAAAAGGUGGAUCAUAUUUAGCAUAAUCUAAGCUUAUGUGUAUAAAUUUUUGAGGAAAUGUGGAAUUUAAAAAACUGGAAUCUGUGUGUGGUUAUAUAUGUAUAUAUUUCAUAAAUUUGACCUAAAACAGGUGAGUCUAAUAUGAACUGCAUUUUCGCACAAGUGGAAAACAUUUAGAAGUUCAGUGCUAUCAAAAGAAGGUGUUAUACGUACAGUAUAAAUGACAGAAAGCAUAUUGAGUGUAACAGUUUUAUCAGGAUCAUAAUAAAGUAUUCCAAAAAUUUAUGGAAAAUAAAAUUUAAAUGAGUUUUGAUGAAAUAAAUUUGAAAUCCAUGCAUAAUUUUUCAGAAUAAACAUUUUCAUAAACUUUUUGAAGAACCCUUAUAUACAUGAUUGUCAAAAAUUCUUGCAUCAAAAUAUAUUUUAUGCAAACUUUGUGAAAUACCCUCAUACGUACCCAUUGGAGAUUCAGAUAAGUUUUCAAACACAUGCUAAUUAUUUUCAUGGAAAAAGGCAAAUUUAUGGAAAUUUACAUUAAAUCAAGUGAAAGCUUGGUUAUACAAUCAAUUUACAGCUGAUGAGAAUGGCAAGCAAGAAAUAAAACAUGUUAGUGUAAGUAUAAACACUGAAUUUCAUUAAAAUCAAUGAUUGAAACAGGUAAAAAUGACCUCAUCCUUAUUCUAAUUUUUUUAUUUUAAAAGAUUUUUAUUUAUUUGAAAGGCAGACUGAGAGAGAAUGAAUCAAGAGAUCAAUGUUCCAUCUGCUGGUUCACUCUCCAAGUGGCCACACGGCCUGAACUGGGCCAUAGCAGAGAGCUGGAUCGGAAGUGGAGCAGCCAGGCCUCAAACCAACGCUCAUAAGGGAAGUUGGCAGUGCAGGCGACUGUUUUACCUGCAAUGCUACAGUUCUGCAGCCCUCAUUCUAAUAUUUCUGAAAAAUAUGCCCAAAUCAACUGUAAAACAUCAUACAAACACUGCAGUGCAAACUAAAAGGGUAAAGUACCCUCUGCUUGAUGGAAACUGGAAGAAGCAUCAGUGCGUGUGAUUUCCCAAGAAUUCUAAUUUGUAGGAUGCACUGGGAAGAGGGCAAUAGUUACAUUCUGACUCACCCAUGUACUUUAAAGACAGCCUCUUAAAAACUACCAUUUAAAGAUAUGCACUUUUCUUAAGAAAUCUAUAUUUGAUAAAUUCCUUGGCUUUAAUCCAUGUUUCCCAUAUUUUUUUUCUGGCAAAAAUUGCUUCAGAGAGCAUAGCAAUAUAGCCCACCCCAACUCUAAACCACUAAUCCUGCCCCAGCAUCUCCUCUACUCAGUAAUAAGAGUAAGAUUCAUUUGUUUUGAAAUUUGGCAUUGUCCAAUAAUUGGGAAUUUCUUAUGGGAAUUCAGAAGCAUGCUUUCAUAUCACUUUUCUCCUUCCUUUAUGAGGGCUACUUCAAUUACAUCACUGACUCCAAUUCUCUGUUGAAAUGUGAUACACCCUGAGGGGCUGGGGAGAGGGAGUUACAUGGACUUGCUCAGUGGCUCAGUAAAUGACAGAAUUUUCGUGGGAUUAUAAGUCCAUUUCUGGAUACAAGUAUCGGAGAUAAUUGCAGCUGCCCAUAAGCUUUCAUCGGUUUUGUAAAAAGGAAAAAGUGGUCUGUGUCAGUUGCUUGUAUGUAGCUUGUCUAUAAAACAGAAAUCAUUGUGGUGAUUCCAGCAUUCAUUUGAGCAGCAAUGGGACCUUUUUAAGGACAAUCUGUUUAGCUGUUUAACAACUGGCUCUCUGGUUAAUUAUGCAUUUCAAGCUAGGAAUUCAUGUAAUCAUGCCAUCUUGAAACUGCUGAAAUGCUUUAGUUCUACCUACAUAUUAUGGAAAUGCAAAAAAAAAAAUCGAAAUUCAGAACAAUGGUCCUAAGAGCCCAUGUUCUAUCUUUUAAUGAACAUAGCACUUGGAAGACCCGUGAGGAAAUGAUUCCUUAGGUUAGUUAAAUAUUUCUUCCUAUAGUUUCUUCAGCAUGUGCAAACUCCUGUGAUACUGAAUUUUUACAAAUUCUGUAGCUGUUUCAUCAAAUUAUAUAUUUUAAUGUUCCUUUCAAAUUACCAUAUCAAAAAUUUAUCUCCAUAACAAUUCCUGAAGGCACCAGCAAAACCAAUGCAAAUUACACAGGAAGUAUGGAAAUAAUCUUAGUGAUUGCGAGACAAUAAAAAUAUUACAAUAUUUCUACCAUAGACAUACUUGGUCAGAGCAAAAACUUAUUUUUAGGAAUGCAUAUAGAGAUACCAUCUUGUACUAAUGAUUGACAAAGGAAAAAUUAAAGAGAAAUAUUUGGAAAUUCAUUUAUCUCCCGAUAGUUUAGAGUUAAUAUUCUCUAUUAUAAGUGAAUAUGCAAAUCCAUGACAAAUUUGAAUUUAUGUAAAAGUUACAUUUUAAAAUAAUCAAGUGAAAUAAUACCUAGUAUUCAGAAACAGCAGAACAUUUCCACUUAUUUCCUUUAGGGCACAUAUGAGACUGUCAAAGGUUUAUUUUUACUUAACAGUUACGGUUUCAUACUUUUAGAGACAAUUGUUCAUUAUUAGUUACACAUUUGUUUUGGAUAUGAGUACUCUUUGAGUAGGUUCAGUGCAUUUCAAAUCUCACACAAUAAUUGUUCUAUCAGCCUAGAAUUAAUAUCCCAUUUUAAGUUAGCUGUGUACGAAUAGGAGAAUGACAGGAAAUUAUAACUGAAGAGUUUUCUAGGUCUCUCAGAAGGCUGCCGGGAAUGCCUAAAUAGUGUAUUACUUGACUGUUUCAUGGGGUGGUCAUUUGGCGCAGUGGUUGAUUCUUGCACCCCAUAUCAGAGUGCCUGGGUUUGAGUCCCAGUUCCACUUCCAGUUGUAGCUUCCUGCCAUGGCACAUCCCUGGAGGCAGCCGUGACGGCUCACUUGAGUCCCUGGCAACCACUGGGAGAACUGGGCAGGGUUUUGAGCUCCUGCCUGCACAGCCUGGCCCAGCUCCAGCUGUUGUAGGUGUUGGGGAUCAGAUGGGAAAACCAGCAGAUGGGAAAGCUCUGUUUGCCUCUGUUUCUCAUUAUAUGAAUUAAUUGGUUAUUUUUUUUUUAAAUAAUCAUUUCAGAAUUAAAGGGUUCUUCUGAAUUUACACCUUGAGAGUGAGGACAGAGACCUAAGCUAUCCAUUAAUGUCAAUUAGUGUCUUUCUUAAUAUGGAAGACAGCAGCUAAUGGCCAAAGAUAUUGCUCAUAUUGCCUGAGGGGAAUUGGAGUGGAGGCUGGUUCUCUUCAAACGGGAGCCAUUGAGAAAGCUCCCAGGGCUGUUCACACUGCUACCUUGCUAAUCAUGGGCAAGUGAAUUUACUCCCUGAGUAAUUAAAAAUAUGUACUUUCUUCUUUUUUGUUUGGAUUUAAUUGGAGAAUUUUUGCUUUGCAAAAUGUUUGCUUUUGAAUAAAAUCAAGUUGCUAUAUUAAAUAAUGCCAAACUGUUUAGUACUCUUUAGGCUUGUAUUUCUUAAAAUGUUUCCUAUCUGAUGAGGAUUAAUUUUAAAUAUGAAUUUAAAUCUACAUUUAAGUUUCAAAAUGGUUUCAUGUGUGAUAUGUAUAGUACAUAGAGCUAUAUAUUACACAUUUGUCAGUCGUGGAAAACCCAAAGGCCUAAAAAGAUAGUCAUGGCUUUAAUUUUGUUAAUUGUGGUCUGGAGCAGCAAAUCACAAAUAAAAAUUAAAUAGCACAAUUGAGUCAGUAGCUAAAAGAAAAGACUUUAAUCCGAGAGGCAGUUUUACUAAGCACAAAGUUAAACCCUUGAGUGAUGAUGGUUUAGUCAGAGUGAGUAGAUGAAUGAUGCCUCCAGGACUCUUGCAAACUUUUGCUUCACUUUGCCAUGGUUUAGAAGAUAGGGCAGGGGGUCGCGUGCUGCUGUUGUGGCUCAGAGUUAAGCCACCGUUUGCCUUGCUGGCAUUCUAUAUUGAAGCAUCAGUUUGAAUCCUGGCUGCUCUAUCUCUGAUCCAGCUCCCUGCUAAUGUGCCUGGGAAGACAGCAGACCAUGACCCAGGCUCCCUGCUAUCUACCUAGGAGACCUGGAUGGAGUCCCUGGCUCUCGACUUUGUCCUGGCCUGGCCCUGGCUGUUGUUGCUAUCUGAGGAGUGACCCAGCAGAUGGAAAAUCUCUCUAUAUUUCUGUCUCUCCCUUUGUUCCAGUCACUGCCUUUCAAUUAAGUAAAUCUUUUUUUUUUUGUAUAUGCUCUUAAUUUUAAAGAAAUUUUCAUUAAUAUAAAGAGAACAGAUUUUCAUGUAUUUCUUAGAUACAAAUCCUAAAAAAGAACCAUACUUCCCUUCUUCCCUCAACCCCCUCCUUCCUUCCCUUUUUUCCUUUAAUUUUUGCAAUAACAUAAUUUAAAUUUACUUUAGAAAAUCACAGGCUUAUUGCACUACUAACCAUAAUAUCCAACAAAUAAAAAGUAGAAAAACAACUAUUCUACAAGAGUAUAGACAAGGGCUAAAAAUGAUCAAAUCUUAAGAUGUCAGUUUCGUUUUUAAACAUUUUUUCCCUUGGUUCACUCCCCAAGUGGCCACCACAGCUGGCGCUGCACCGAUCUGAAGCCAGGAGCCAGGUGUUUCUUCCUGGUCUCCCAUGUGGGUGCAGGGGACCAAGCACUUGGGCCAUCCUCCACUGCCCUCCCAGGCCACAGCAGAAAACUGGACUGGAAGAGAGGCAGCUGGAACUAGAACCCAGUGCCCAUAUGGGAUGCUGGUGCCGCAGGCAGAGGAUUAACCAAGUGAGCCACGGCACUGGCCCCUAAACUUUUUUGUAUUCUAUAACUACCACAUAUCAGAGAAAAUGUAUUUUUACAACUGGAUUAUUUUACUAAGCUUAAUGGUCUCCAGCUAUAUCCAUUUUGUUGCAAAAGACAAAAUUUCAUUCUUUAAGACUGAGUAGUGUUCUCUUAUUUAUGCAUGCCACAUUUUCUUUACCCAGUCAUCAACUGAUGGACAUGUGGAUUGAUUCCAUAUCUUAGCUAUUGUGAAUUGAAUGCAAUAAAUAUGGGAGUACAAAUAACUCUUCUGUAGCUGACUUCAUUUCCUUUGGAUAAAUUCCCAGGAGUGGAAUGGCUAGGUCAUAUGGUAGGUGUAUAUUCAGGUUUCCGAGGAAUCUCCAUACUGUCUUCCAUAAUGGUUGUAUGAGUUUAGGUUCCCACCAACAGUGUAUUAGGUACCUUUUCCCCUACAUCUUUACCAGCAUUUAUUUAUUUAUUUAUUUAGUUGACAGGCAGUGGACAGUAAGAGAGAAAGAGAGAAAGGUCUUCAUUUUGCUGUUGGUUCACCCUCCAAUGGCCGAUGCGGCCGGUGCACUGUGGGCGGCGCAUUGCACUGAUCCGAAGCCAGGAGCCAGGUGCUUCUCCUGGUCUCCCAUGCAGGUGCAGGGCCCAGGCUCUUGGGUCAUCCUCCACUGCACUCCUGGGCCAUAGCAGACAGCUGGCCUGGAAGAGGGGCAAACAGGACAGAAUCCGGCACCCCGACCAGGACUAGAACCCAGGGUGCCAGCGCUGCAGGCGGAGGAUUAGCCUAUUAAGCUGUGGCGCUGGCCCACCAGCAUUUAUUUAUUUUGAUUUCUGUAUGAGAGCCAUUCUAACUUGGGGUGGGAUGAAACCUUAUUGUGGUUUAGAUUUGCAUUUCCCUGAUGGCUAGUGAUCCUGAGCAUUUCUUUAUGUGUUUGUUGGCCAUUUUGAUUUCAUUCUUUGAAAAAUGCCUGCCCAUGUCCUAAAAUCUUCUUUUUAAUGGGCUGGGAGCCCUGAAGAAUUUUCGUUAGCACUGGAACCAUGACAGAAUAAGGAAAUAUGAUUACUGAUCUGGAUCAUGACAAAAAUCAAAAGAAACUUAAGGUACUAUUUAGCAUCCAAACUGUAAUCAAGAAAAGCCAGAAUUAUUACACUUAAAGUUAGAAAAUCAGGCAAGGGACAAUCUGCCCAUGUAUUUUUUUAGUAACCAACUAUACAUUUUAUUAAUAAGUACCUAUUUAUUUAGACACAUGAGCUGUAAACUCAACAAAGAUUAAUUUUCAUUUAGACAGCUUCACAACCACACACAUAAAUGAUAGAACAAUAUGUAGAACUAGAUACAGAUACUUCUUCCAGAAACAUGGGAUAUAGAAUUCAGUUUGUAAAAUGUUACACUAAAUAUAAAUAGAAUCUGCUUUGUCUUCAGUGAUUUUUUUCUCACUUAAUGUAAUGAAAUACACGUUAAGAACUCACAAUAUUUUUCUGUUUUUGACUAAUACAUACAUUCAAAACUAAUUUCUUUACUGUACAAGGAGUUUUAUGAGGCAUUGAAAUGAAUACAAAAUUAGAUUUAGUAUGGAAAAUGUGUAUAAAUACCUGUAAUUCAAAGACUCCUGGUGCAAAAUAACCUUGGGGGGAAAAAAUCCAGAUAACAUAGUGACUUUAAAAAGACCAGAGUGGCAUUUUAGCAUUCGAGGUUUGGCAAAGGAAUUCAGGGGACAGAAAUAGCAUGAGCAGAGACAUACAGGUAGGAAAACUUGGAGCAUGUUUAAGAAUGAUAUUCAUGUGGUUCCCCCAGAAUGCAGGGUUCUGAAAGUCCCUGUGUCUGGAAAUGUCCCAGAGAUACUGCUCAGAUGUAGGUGAAAGAGCAGUAGAUCUUUAUAAGAACACUCACAAUGAAGCAAAUCACUGAUCCCUGGGUGACGUUUUCUUCAACUGGAAAAUAGUGACAACUGUACCAGUGUGAUGGUGUCUGUGUCCUAUAAGCUGUAAAACAUCAUGCAAAUAACUAGAGGACAUAGUUGUCUUCCUCUCUGAAGAAUCGCCGCGAUUCCACGUGGCUGCCUUUCUCCCAUGUCCUUCAGAUAUGGCUUUUCCCGCUGAGUGUAAGGCUGUCUGCCCAUUUCCUGCCUUUCCUUAUUACAAAGAGAAUUGGCUUUCUGGACUGCGUCCCCUAUGCCAGUUGGCAAACAAAGCCCUGAGAAGGCAGAUGCUCCAUUGCUGACAUCACCACCAAAGUCUCUCCCAGUUUUCUGAGAAGAAACCAGCCCCUGCCCGCUCUUGCGAGGGAGCUGGCACCUUUCCUCCCCAGGGCUCUCUGUCCCUCCCACUUCGUUGUGGGUCUGAAGCAGGCAGUUCAGUCACUGCCUAUUGCCAGCAGGAACACCCUCUCAUUUCCUCCCUCCCUGCUUGCUCUCCUUCCCUGCCCCCCCCCCCAUCCGAUCCAUGAAAAGUUGUACAAAUGAUUCUUACUCCUGCCAAGAAAAAAAAAGGUUGGAAAAGAAGAAUCUAGUGAAUGUGUGAUUUGAUUUAAAAUGAUUUUGCUAUCUUGCCAGGGACAUUUUGACUGGCACAGCUUCUAGUUUCCUUUGUAAAUUCUCAGAUAGCCCAGGCUGACUCCUUUUUCUUUUCUUUCCUGGAUGAGUCUUAGAAAUGAUUUGCCUACAGCCUCCAAUCUUGCUCUCCUGAAACCCAAUGGACCUAUUGGUUAAAUGGAAUUGGAUGUUAAGGACUAAAGAUAUAGGUUGUUAAUUGGUUAAGGGAUUUAGGAGAAUGGGGGCUUUAUCAACUUGAACUGCUUCAUUGUUCUUCAUCAGUGAUUUUUCUUUCAAGUGCCCUUGGAAAGAAAAGAGAGGGGCUAUUUGUUAAAUAUUAGCAUUUCCCACAACACAGCAAAUUUGGAAGCAACAAUUUAAGAACCCAAGAGAGCAUUUAAAUGGUUUUUCAUUCUGGUGAGAGUCAGGCAAAAAAAAAAAAAAAAAAAAAAUCAAUCUUUUUAGUCUUUGGAUCCUGACCUCUAAAGGCAGCCAUUUCAGACCUGCAUAAAUUUCGUCAAGCGACUUCCCCUCCAGUGGUUCUUCAGAAGUCCUGCUCGGUGGCCCUGAUUCAAGACCGGGUUAGCUGCAGCCUACCUGGCGUGUUUCUAAUUGUUCCCCAAACUGCUGGUGUCCUAGGGUGGUGGGUGUGAGGACAGGGAAGUGUGGAAGGACUUCACAAAACACUGCCUGCAAACCUCACCUUUGUUUCGUGAAGGCAUGUUGCUACCUACAGCUUGCCUUCUAGGUUUCUUGUGGGAGAAGCUAAACCUGUUAGAAAAUCUGCCAGUUUUUUCUGUAGUUCUGGUCUAACUGAAUCAAAGGGAAUGUAGUACUACUUCAGCUUUUCACAUGUUCUCUCCUCUUUAUGGCCAAGAAAAUGUUAGCAAAUAGAAAAAGACUUUCAAAAUAAUAGUUGAUCUUGACUGAUGAAUCUCUGACCCACGCUUUCUCUCUUGGGGCCCUGGGAUGUUUUUUCCUCCUACUUCCUCACUUUUAAAAGACAGUUUUCCAAAAUGUUUUGCCAGAUAGGUGUCACUGCAUUUCGGUGAUCAACGAUCAUUCUUAUUAUGAGACAUAUGGUAUGGCAGUCAUACAUACAGGUCUCCCUCUUGAUAAGCCACACUGACAGACUUUGCAAACUUUGGAACCUGUUGCGUAUUCUUAGAUUCUUGAUCAAUCAAGAUGAGGUAGUGGCAGUGCAAGAAAUGCUACAAAUACUGCCUUAACAUAGUUAGCAGCAGAAUGUUCAAAAUAAGCUAAAUAUUUAUCAGUAUGGAAAUAGUUAUAUAAAUCAUAAGGAGAUGCUGCACAAUGAUGUUCUAAAUGAAUAGUUAUUCACAAAAUAUCCUCAUGCAAGGGGGAAGAUUUUUACAUUAUCAAUAUCUUGUGAUUGUAUUUUUGUGAAAAUAAAGAACACACAGAAGAAAAGCAUUUGGAAAUUAUUUUAAAGGUAUGAACAUUAUUUUCUCCUUUAUGUUCACCUAUGUUUUCUAUUGUAAGAAUAAAUUUGUAUUUCCAUAAUUUUCACAUCAUUUAAAAUUAAAAACAUGUAAUAGAAAAACCAAAACACCACUAAUAAGAUAGUGACAUGACAUAUGGUAGCAAAAGGAUCUACAUAUGGCACAUUUAUUUAGAACAAAAAUAUUUCAAAGGGUAAAUGCUGGUAGACUUCUGGAAGGUAAUGCUGGUAGACUUCUGGAAGGUAAUGCUGGUAGACUUCUGGAAAGCUAGCCAAGUAGGAGGCCACAUAAAUCAGAGAAAUGAAGAAGUUGAUGAAGAGUAGGGAGAGGCACUAUGUACCAGGUGUAGUUGUCUUGAGUCUGGAAUGAUAUUCACAUUGAAAGGGAGCUGACAGACUGUAGGUGUUGCUACAUUAUUUCUUUUCAAUGACUGCAGAAAAGAAAAAAAAAAAAAAAACACCAUUUUGCCAAACUGGCAUCAGUGACAAAUGAACAGAGGGUCUCCCCAUUCUGUUACUUCCUUGGCAGUUAGAGCAUCCGUUGUCUCAGCUGUUUAAUGUGUAAGUUCAGUGUCUCCUGGGCCAUUUUCCAUAAGGCAGCAGAUACCCGAGCAUAAUAAAUUCAAUGUCACGUCCGGCAUCAGAGCACACUGUGUCCCACUUUAAGAUAGUACUCUGGGUCAAUGAGCCAGUCAUAGAAAUUCGUGCAAAUGCUGGUGAUUCCCAGAGGAGAAUAUUUUCUUUUGAUUCUUGAUCUUGGUUUCUAUUGAUUUACAGAGCAGUUCUUCUGAUGAAAAAACCAACCAUUUCUGAAUGUUUUGUUCUGCUUUUCUUAGGCUGGGGCAUGUGCAUUGUAGUGGUUCUGAAGUUAGGAGUGAUUCUGAGAUGUAGUCCAUGUUGAGAAGACUGAUCUCAAGCAGUCAGGCUCAGCAAAUGUGUCCAGAAAUGACAGUGAUGAUAUGCAAACCUCAAGUGCAUCCGUGAUCAGUUGGCGAUGCUUCUUGCAUUGAUUUUCCACCAGUGAGAGAGUUUUAGCUGGUUUUCUUUCUCAGUUCCUGUUGUAAACAAUGGAGAGUGUAGUUGAGAUGGGUUUUGGUAAUAGAAUAAGAUGAGGCAGUUAAUCCUUGUUGUAACCGAUAUUGAACUUUUUUGUCUGUAAUUCUUUUUUUCAACUAAGAACAGUGACUCAAUGGUCAUAUGCUAGACCAUUGAUGGGAACGUUAGCUCAUGAUAUGUGUAUGCCAUUAGCACUGAAGACUGUAGUCCAGAAAGAGUGAAAAGGUGGAGUCCGGCAUGUUCCCAGAUCAUCUAUUUUGUACUAUUUCAGUUUUCUUCAAUAAAAUUCACUGACACAAUCCCUAUACAGAGUACUGAAAUAUUUUCAUUACCAUUUUUCUGUUAAAGAAGCAAGAUUUAUAUAUUACUUUCCAUGGCAGUAGAAGCUGCAGACUUAAGCCAUGGUCUGCCUGCCUAGAACCUAUAGAACUUUAUACACAAUUUAAAAAAUACCUUUCCCAUCACCAUCCUAAGCAGUUAAUCCCUGUAGACUAGCUAGAAGGUUGACCCAGAUAGCCAAGUCAUCAUUGUUGGAAUAUUUGUCUUCAACACACCAACCUAUAGUUUCUUCCUUUGAUUUGUUUCUUAUUUCCCUUCUUGUGAUUUUAGUUCUUAGAAACAACAGUAGCUAAAAUAAUGGUUAGCAGAUAAAAAGUUCAUUUACACCAGUAUUUUUUUCUUUUGAAUGAAAAAUCAGAAUUCAAAUUCCUGUAAUCUAUCAGCUUUCCAAUAUUUAUCAUCUUCUUUUGACAAUAAAUUUCCGUUGUGUUGCUGGAAUAAAAUGGGAGUAUUGCUUUUAUUGGCAACAGAAUUAAAGUCUGAGGUAUAACUGAUUUUUCAAAGCAUUUAUGGAUUCUUGUACGAGAUUCAUUGAUGAGUACUUGAACACCUAAAUUCUAUAGAAAAGUUGAUAUCUUUUAAGUUGCUCCUCCUCAGUUGUUAAUACACUCUUGUGUGCUAAGAAUUUAAAGGAUGAGAACGGUCAUGUGUAAUGCAAUUGAAUGCUUUGUUUGCUACCAGUUGCCUGAUUCUCACAUUUUCCCCUAGAGACCAAUUGCUUUAAAAACAUUUUAUUAGAUGGUUUUGUUAUUCUAACGAAUACAUUCUGUUAACAGUUUUCAGCAAAACAUGCAAAAUUUCAGGAAUCAUUAUUUUGUUUCCUUUUAAACCCUUGCCCAUUUCCAUGAAACUAAAAGGAAAUGCAUUGCCCAAUCUUUGUUCCUAGAAGAUAAUAGAAAACAUAUUGAAUUUAUAGAACAAUAUGGAUAAUUAUAAGAAAAUGUGUGUUUAUUCUCCUUGCAUAUAUUAGGAAGAAUGAAUGAACUCUGUCAUCUAUUCUCUUUAGAGCAAAUCUUUUUUUGCCUUGAAGUAACUAAGCUGUGUUCUCAUUGUGUAAAGCCUUUGGAUAAGAAACAACUUUAAUAUCAUAUCCCUAACCUUUUAUUUCUCAUUUCUUAAUUUUGAGGACUCAUCACUCCGAUCAUAAGCAGACAUGAAAUUGAAAAGUUCUACUUUUCUCUCUCAUUCCUCACCACUGUCUUUCUCCACUUAAAGCAGUAGAUAUGUCAGAUGGGAGUCAAAAGUCAACCUCUGUACUCUUUUGAUUUGAAUGUUCUUACUCAAGUAGGUGGCAUUUCCCAUUAGGGAUUGACACACAGGUGGAACCUGUACUUGGGGACAGCCAGCGAAUUUGACUUGAGAAACUGGCAAGAAUCUGACUCUCAUAGCUUGGAGUGUCAGUUGUAAAAAUUCAGUUGGUUCACACUGUUGUUGUGAGAUAGGCCAGUGUGUACUUCUGGAUGAGUAUGUUUGUAGGUAGCUUAUGCUCUGAAUAGUAGGGCUAGGUCAAUUUGAGAUAAAAUUUACCUAAAGCAAGAAAGAAUUCAGUUAGGCUGGAGACUCGAGCAUGCCUUUUGUCUCGUGAAGAAUUGGCACUGUCGAUUUUUAUUUCUUCAAAACGAAAUCUGUUAGACCUCUCAAGGGGAUUUUUCACUUGUUUCUUGUUUUUACCCUACCUUCGGAAGUAAAUAGGUUAAGGAAAACUAUUGUCUUAAAGAGUAUUUUCUGCUUUGUUCUUGUUUUCUGGAUACUAGUGACCUUCUAAAUCUUUAUCUGGUAGGAGAAUUAGUUUAGGAAGAUAGGCUGUUUGACCAGAGAGUUUGCGGCUUCCCGUGCUGCCGAAUGGCUUCAUGGGGAAGAAAAGAAUCUUGUCUCCUUGGCUCCAGGAUCUUCCACUUCCGUGUCUCAUUUCCUCUCUUCAACUGGGAUAGAGUUCUUGACAUAAGAUACCAACAAUUAACCUUCUGGGAAGUUUUGCAUAAAUGACAAUUUCUGUGGCCUUCAACUUCGCUAAGCUAGCAUAAUAGGUAGAUUAAUAUGUUCCUUCUUGGCAGGAAUGGAGACAAGUUUUUUAAAACAAGCAGAAAAAAUGUUGUGCUAAAUCAGUGAUUACUAUGGCAACAGGCACUCUACAUGUUAGAAAAAGAAGAAAAAUACAAUCCUGGUUCUCUAAAAGGAAAGAUAACAAAUCAUUUUAUAAACUUUUCUCAAAAAUCAAUAAAUCUGCAUGUAUGUUUGUGCAAUCUUAUCAAAGAGUUUAGCAAAAAUUACAAAAGUUUAGCAGAACCUGGAUGAUAAAAAUAAAUAAAUUAUUUCUUUGUUACAGAUCUAUUUCAGAAAAUCACAAAAACACAAAGGAAUGUACUAUACUGCAUUUUCAAUAAAAGAGUUAAAUUCUACUGCCUGAUGAAUUCACAUUAUAUUUGGCAAGCAUCUUACUACUUUAUGGGUGGGAAUACCCGAAUGGGAACAGAAUAGUCUCUCUAGAAUGGCUGUGGUGAGAUACCUGAAGUCAUUGCCAUGAAAAGGGUACUAUUGAUAAAUACAAAAGCUGAACUUCAUGGUUUUAUGGUUGAUUGGGUGAUUUAGGUUAUGACUAUCAGUGAUGUAGCCAAUCUGGGUUAUUUUUAUGCUUUUCUGACAGAUCCCAUUUUAUAAAUAAAAUAACUGAUUUUUAUAGCUGUGAUAUCUCUUUGUUUCAAGCAGAAUUUUCAUAAACAACAGAUAGAAAUCCAAACCCUUAUUCCUUUGAAUUGCAUGAUUAUUCUCUGAAUUUUUCUGGGUACAUCUUCAUAUGGUUUGUGUGGCACUGGCAAGGAUUUGGAUAAAUUACAGUGUGCCCCCAGAAUGAAGACUUCAAAGUGUAAAUAUGAGUGUAAUAUUUUUUAUUGCAAAAGAUGAUAGAUGCUUUUUAAUGAUCUGAAAAAACACUGUGCUAAAACAAGACAGAUAAGCAUUUGGAGUAUAGCAACCCCUCCCUUUAUCUUGUAAAAACAGUAUGUAAGUUUAUUGGUAAGAUUUUGUUAAACUAUCAUGCCAAAGAGGCCAUAGCAAUGUUUCCUAGGUUUCGUAAUAUACAUGCUGUGUCAAAUGAUUCCAAAAUGUGGCAGGACACUAACUAAAGGUACAAAGCUGUGAAUUUGGAAGUAUAAUCCCUACACACUCUGCAUUUCCAGAAAGAAUAGACAUGAUGCUUGCUUUUGUGUUUUGGAUUUUGUGACGUUGUUCUUGACAUUUUAUAACUCUGUUAAAAAAAAAAAGAGUUAUCAA